rnacentral:rRNA from 1 species
UACGGGAGGCAGCAGUGGGGAAUAUUGCACAAUGGGCGCAAGCCUGAUGCAGCCAUGCCGCGUGUAUGAAGAAGGCCUUCGGGUUGUAAAGUACUUUCAGUCGUGAGGAAGGUGUUAAGGUUAAUAACCUUAGCAAUUGACGUUAGCGACAGAAGAAGCACCGGCUAACUCCGUGCCAGCAGCCGCGGUAAUACGGAGGGUGCGAGCGUUAAUCGGAAUUACUGGGCGUAAAGGGCACGCAGGCGGUUAAUUAAGUUGGAUGUGAAAUCCCCGGGCUUAACCUGGGAAUGGCAUUCAAGACUGGUUAGCUAGAGUCUUGUAGAGGGGGUAGAAUUCCGAUGUGUAGCGGUGAAAUGCGUAGAGAUGUGGAGGAAUACCGGUGGCGAAGGCGGCCCCUGGACAAAGACUGACGCUCAUGUGCGAAAGCGUGGGGAGCAAACAGGAUUAGAUACC